AAACUUUCAACAACGGAUCUCUAGGUUCUCGCAUCGAUGAAGAACGCAGCGAAAUGCGAUACGUAGUACGAAACGCAAGUCGUGAAUCAUCGAAUCUUUGAACGCACAUUGCGCUGUGUGGCAUUCCACACAGCAUGCCUGUUUGAGCAAUAU
rnacentral:rRNA from 1 species